rnacentral:rRNA from 2 species
UGGGGAAUAUUGCACAAUGGGCGAAAGCCUGAUGCAGCAACGCCGCGUGAGCGAAGAAGGCCUUUGGGUCGUAAAGCUCUGUCCUUGGGGAAGAAAAAAAUGACGGUACCCAAGGAGGAAGCCCCGGCUAACUACGUGCCAGCAGCCGCGGUAAUACGUAGGGGGCAAGCGUUAUCCGGAAUUAUUGGGCGUAAAGAGUACGUAGGCGGUUUCUUAAGCGUGAGGUGAAAGGCUAUGGCUUAACCAUAGUAAGCCUUGCGAACUGGGAGGCUUGAGUGCAGGAGAGGAAAGUGGAAUUCCUAGUGUAGCGGUGAAAUGCGUAGAUAUUAGGAGGAACACCAGUGGCGAAGGCGACUUUCUGGACUGUAACUGACGCUGAGGUACGAAAGCGUGGGGAGCGAACAGG